AUGGCGGAGCGAGUUCCUGUCGAGGCUACCAGAGUAGCGAUGUCAGGGGAAGGUGGGACUACUGGCACGGAGGUGGAUCGUCUUCUUUCGGCUGGGGGAAGUGGUGUUCUUGCGCCAUCGCCUUCCGUUGUGGAAGUUCCUGCAGUGGCCUUCAAUCCUGCGCAGGAGGCGCACAGUUCACACUCCGCUUCCGGUGUUGAGGAUAUGCUCGAGCGUCUUCAUCUCACGGCGAUUGAGGCGCAACCGGUGAUGGUGGAUGAUGACGAUGAUGCUGAUCUGGUUGUCUCGGAUUGCGCACUAGUGGGGAAGGUCCUCUCCCCUACUGUCCUCCAUAACAACACAAUUUCAUCGGCAAUGAGGCUGGCCUGGGGAAAUCCUAGGGGUCUGCUAUUUCACCCGGCGGGUAGCAACCUGUUUGUGGCUGAGUUUAGCACUGAGAUGGACAGGGAUCGUGUUCUGGAUGGUUCGCCAUGGAUAGUGGGCAAGCAUGCUAUCUUACUCAAGGUUUUUGAUCCUAACAUACAACCAAUGCGAGUGGAGUUUAAUACUCUCUCUAUUUGGGCACGUAUUAUGGCCCUGCCGCCCAGAUUGAUGAAGUCUAAACUGGGCAUGGAGUUUGAUAUGCCAAUUGGUAGAAUUGAGCGUGUGGAAGCGGAUGCUGAUGGAAGAUGA
rnacentral:rRNA from 1 species